ensembl:lncRNA
UGCUUUCCUGUAUUGCCAGGGCUGAUGGAAGCCAAGGAGCAGCCUGAUUACUCCUCCCACGGACUCCUGGCUGAAGGAAAAUUAACCCUCAGGCUGCAGCUGUAUUUCAUCUUGAAUGACAGGAAGGGAGGGGAGAUCCCGGCCGUUUUUCAUGUCCUGCCUAACUGCUGCUUUCAGUGAUUUUUUUUCCAUACACGCAAUUGGAAGACAAAUAACUGCCCCUUAUCCACCUAAGGAGAGGUGGUGAUUUGACAUAAUUAACUGCAAUUGGGUGUACUUUCAGUAUUUUAUCAGCUGCACAUUUUUGGAGUGGCUUUCCUAGGUAAAGCAGAAAACUAUCUCAACCUGGGCACGGCAGGCAGAGAAGCAGAGGGGACAGCACAGUCGGAUGAGGCAGACGUGAAUCCUGUGAGAGAGCCGCCCGCCUCUCUGGGCGGCCCACAAGCAGCUCUGCCCUCUCCAGGAGGGCUCUCUGGCCACGCCUCCUCUGGGGCAGCCCUUGGAAGAGCUCGAGGGCACUUGCACUGCUCCGGACGAGAAGGAGGCGUGCCGAAAAACAUCAAAUCCACACCUACAGGAGGAGGACGGCGUGGGAAGGGAGGGAGGGAAGACGGGGAGGACAACGCAACUUACAUGCCAAGCUCGCAGAAGCCUCUUCCACUACGAGGCAAAUCUCCGGCGCUCCCGGGGAGCUCUGCCCCAGCAGUGAGGAGGAGAUAAGGAUGAGGGGAUAAGGAUGAGGAGCCGCCUCGACCGCGCCGCAGACAGCUCCCGCCCCGUCCGGCACAGCUGAGUGCCGCUUCAGCACCACGGACAGCGCCAGCAGCGCCGCCAUGGGGAGCCGCGUCCGCGCAGCACCGCGCAGCGCCCCGCGCCUCUAGAGUGAAGCCGAGCCGGCCCCGACGCGCACAUGUAAGCUGCUGCCCCUGCGCGGAGCGGCGAGCAGCGGGUUCUGCCUCUUCCAGAGCCGAUUCUCUUUUCGUCUGGCUCCGAUACCAGUCCUUAGUCGUGUUCUAGGAAGUUUUUUGGGAUUGGAGAUGUCUCGGUGUAGCUCAGUCUUCCACGACCCUGGGUCUGGGCUGGCAUUGAGAGGGGUGGGUGGCUAUGUGUGCAAUCGCUUUGGCUUGCUACCCUUGGAAUUAGUGAAAGCUGCUUGGUUUUAGUGCACCUGCAAGGGUUUGCUGUUUGUUGCAGGAUAUAUGGUUUGGAGCCACGCUUUUGUCUUCCCUUAUAGCUGGACGAUUUUUUUUAAGGGUUUGUUUGUCUUGGAAACAGUUUGACCAACACAAAAAGAGAAAAAAUAACAGGUCUUAAAAUUCAACAUUGUAUCAUGUCUGUUUCACCUUGCUGGGUCUGAGUGUCAGGAAUCUUUUCAUGUUUUUUCUUGUCUUGUGACAAAUAUCAAGUGAGCAAGUGAAAAGGGUACAGCAACUGGGAAAAACAAAAUACACUCAGAACUGAGAUUUUAAGUUCUUUUCAGACGUUUUUCUUUCUUUUUUCAAUAGAACUGUUUGUUGAAAUUCAGCGUUACACUGCCCCCUGCUUGCACAAUUAGAAAAAAUUUUCAUUAUUGUCAUCAGUAGUAAAAAUUUAUGAAUGAACAGGUAUUCCUCUGUUGUGUUCUGGGUGUGAUCUCAGCUUGACUUUUGAAGUGCUUCAGCAGAUAGGAUAAAUCAGUCUUAAUUCAACAGGCUAGAUGUAUUUAUUUAUUCACAGUAACAGAUUCUCUUCAUGGCAGUUCAUUUGGUGGCCAAACAUGUUAAUGAUUGAAGAGUUGGAGACAAUGUAAGAGUAGAGCUGAUUUUGAUAUAUCUCACAAACAUUCUGUAAUAGCUUUGGAAUAAUCAGUCAUUUUCAGUAGUAUCUCUGAAGGAGCAAUAAGAAAUGGAGAAAAUAACCCUGUAAAUAUGUUAUAAAACAAGAGUAAAUUGAAUACAAGAAUCCGGAUGAUUAUUUCACAGCCUCUUCUAGCAUUAAAGACUUGUAUUGGUGAGGUUUUUUUUUGGAAUGGGAAAGAACAUGCUGAUCCUUAGACUAUGGGAAGGGCUAACAGCUAAGAAGCAAUGAACUUUUAUCUAUUUAUUUUCUUUUUUCUCUGUGUGUGUGAAAGAUAUCUGCUAAAAGUCAUACUCCAUUUCUUUUUCUCAAAGCACAGGGCAGAGCUACCUCCAUUAAAUCAGGGAGGACUUCAGGGAGGACAUUAGAGUUUAGGUGCCAAUAAAGAUUUAGUGUUCUCUCA